GAUGAACGCUGGCGGCGUGCCUAAUACAUGCAAGUCGAGCGAACAGACGAGGAGCUUGCUCCUCUGAUGUUAGCGGCGGACGGUGAGUAACACGUGGAUAACCUACCUAUAAGACUGGGAUAACUUCGGGAAACCGGAGCUAAUACCGGAUAACAUGUUGAACCGCAUGGUUCAACAGUGAAAGACGGUCUUGCUGUCACUUAUAGAUGGAUCCGCGCCGCAUUAGCUAGUUGGUAAGGUAACGGCUUACCAAGGCAACGAUGCGUAGCCGACCUGAGAGGGUGAUCGGCCACACUGGAACUGAGACACGGUCCAGACUCCUACGGGAGGCAGCAGUAGGGAAUCUUCCGCAAUGGGCGAAAGCCUGACGGAGCAACGCCGCGUGAGUGAAGAAGGUCUUCGGAUCGUAAAACUCUGUUAUUAGGGAAGAACAAAUGUGUAAGUAACUAUGCACGUCUUGACAGUACCUAAUCAGAAAGCCACGGCUAACUACGUG
rnacentral:rRNA from 1 species